rnacentral:rRNA from 1 species
UACGUAGGUGACCAGCGUUGUCCGGAUUUACUGGGUGUAAAGAGCGCGCAGGCGGUCGUUCAAGUCGAGUGUGAAAGCCCCCGGCUCAACUGGGGAGGGUCACUCGAUACUGAUCGACUUGAAGGCAGGAGAGGGAAGCGGAAUUCCCGGUGUAGUGGUGAAAUGCGUAGAUAUCGGGAGGAACACCUGUGGCGAAAGCGGCUCACUGGACCACAACUGACGCUGAUGGCGCGAAAAGCUAGGGGAGCAAACAGG